rnacentral:lncRNA from 1 species
UCUCUUUCCAUGCGGUCACCCACCCCCCCCCCCCGUCUUUUUUUGUCUUUUUUUCUCCACACGUGCAGGCUGCCUGUGCCUCGGUCUGGAUGACUCUGGCUCCUCUGAGCAGGAGGGACUGCUCUCCCCCGCCGUGCCUUUCAGGCAGGCUAGCUCUGUGGGCGCACACAGUGUGCGUAGGGCGCUGUUUAGGAUGCUUGCCUCUGACAGGCAUGGUGGGACUGCUGCCUGCUUGACAUGCACCAUGGCCAGCUUGUGCUUUCGGAGAUCUCAGGAGCUUCAGAAGAAUGCAGAGCAACGUGCACCUGACAAAGCCUGGUUGCUUUUUCCAGCGCUUGGCCUCUGCAGUUUCCUACCUACUGUGUUUGAAGGAUUCCCUGCAGCCCCCUUCUUGAGACUUCCCUGGACCUUUCUCUGCAGUUCUUGUUUUUUGUCCAUCAUGGAGCUGGAUGCUCAAGAGCAGAGGAUCUAUCAACUGCAGACCAAGCGGAGGGAGAGACAGGCAGACCUGGAGCAGAAAUGCAGCCGGAUCCAGCAGCUCAGCCAGGACCUGGAGGCCAGCCACCAGCCGCAGGAGGAAGCUCAGAAGCAGAGCAGUGCAGCUUGGAACAAGCUGCCGUGGUGA